GGCUCCUUAGUAAGGGCUAUGGUGUCAUUGUCUUUGCAGUGCUGUGUCAUGGCAUGACAUCCAGUUCUACAACUAAUAUUAAAAUCAAAAUUUAUCUUACACAUCUAUAGCACACUCAGCCUCCAUUGAUCGAUUACUCAGAAUUCUUCUAGUAAAUCGAACAAGAAUACACCCUCGAAUCGCAACUCAGAAUCACCUCCAA
rnacentral:lncRNA from 1 species